UGGCUGUCGUCAGCUCGUGUCGUGAGAUGUUGGGUUAAGUCCGUAACGAGCGCAACCUUGUCCUUAGUUACCAGCACGUUAUGGUGGGCACUCUAAGGAGACUGCCGGGUGACAAACCGGAGGAAAGGUGGGGAUGACGUCAAGUCAUCAUGGCCCUUACGGCCUGGGCUACACACGUGCUACAAUGGUCGGUACAAAGGGUUGCCAAGCCGCGAGGUGGAGCUAAUCCCAUAAAACCGAUCGUAGUCCGGAUCGCAGUCUGCAACUCGACUGCGUGAAGUCGGAAUCGCUAGUAAUCGUGAAUCAGAAUGUCACGGUGAAUACGUUCCCGGGCCUU
rnacentral:rRNA from 1 species